AUUCAUAAUAUUUGUAUAUAUCUCACUUUUCUUUUUGGUAAUUCUCUAUGAAUAAUGAACUAUUAAUUAUGUGAUAUGUUGCAGAGUGAUGUGUCCUUUGUAUUUUUAUAUAUAUCAUGCAAUGUCUGUAUUGUUUAUAAUUCUGCUAAGGAGACAGCCCGAAUGGAUCAUUGUAUACAUGAAACAUCAUGUCAAGCGGUGUGCUCUUCCUAUCUUUGUGUAAUUCGCGAGAGUACUCAUUAUUAAAUUGAUAUCUAUGGAGACAUAAUUUUAGAUCUGACUAUAUAUAGUUUAUUAUUAUGUCUGUCCUUUGUGGCAAAUAGUAUGGUAUUCAAAGAAGCAUAACCCAUAAAAGCGGUGCGCUUCUUAGAGGUAUAUUUCCAUCUGUGAUGGGAAUUAUAUGUUUUUCUUUAUAUAUAUCCUUGUGUGAUGUUGUCUUCCUUUUUUGUAGGAUCCUGGAUUGAGUCAGAGCUAUUUUUGUUCUUGCUUUUCGGAAUACUCGUUAUGAACAAGAGGUGGACACAGGCUUUUCGUAAUCUGAAAUAAUUUGGAGCUGGCAGCUUUGUCUUUGAUGACUGUCAUCGGUGGAUCACAAAUAGUGCUAGAUAUUGACUGCGAACAUAUUGAUGUAUAUUAGAAAGCGUGUUGCCGGCGAGAAUUAUAUUUUCUAAUUUAAUUUGCGUAUCUCGUGCACAAUCAUUGGAUUAGAUUGGAUAUAUUCUACGAAAUAUAAUUGAAAUAUUGUCACAUUAUGAAUUGGCAGAUAUGUCACUUCUUUCCAAUUCAUAUUAAUUAAUAAUUAUUAAGAAUUAUGGCUUUAUUGUUAUGACUUUACUCUUUGGAGGAUAUCUGCGUUUGUUUAUGCAACCGCUGUAUAUCUAUAUAUCGCGUGAUAUCGUUUAUUACGUAAUAUUGUUUGUCGGAUCUUCUGGCUUUGCCGAUCUUUCUUUCUUUUGAGUGUCUCAGCUUGUGAGACUAUGUGAGAUCUUUCUUGGAUAAUCUUGUGGGGAGAAAUACAUUCGUUUUGGCACUAUGACACUUAAUAAAGUUUAUUGCUAUGGUA